rnacentral:rRNA from 1 species
UACGUAGGGGGCAAGCGUUAUCCGGAUUUACUGGGUGUAAAGGGAGCGCAGACGGCAGUGCAAGUCUGGAGUGAAAGCCCGGGGCCCAACCCCGGGACUGCUCUGGAAACUGUACGGCUGGAGUACGGGAGGGGCAGGCGGAAUUCCUAGUGUAGCGGUGAAAUGCGUAGAUAUUAGGAGGAACACCAGUGGCGAAGGCGGCUUACUGGACUGUAACUGACGUUGAGGCUCGAAAGCGUGGGGAGCAAACAGG